rnacentral:rRNA from 1 species
AACUCGUUGGCUACAGUAAGUUUGAAAAUAAAGCCUGGCUUUAGAACUCUCUAAAGUUUGACCUCGGAUCAGGUAGGAUUACCCGCUGAACUUAAGCAUAUCAAUAAGCGGAGGAAAAGAAACCAACAGGGAUUACCUUAGUAACGGCGAGUGAAGCGGUAAAAGCUCAAAUUUGAAAUCUAGCGUCUUUGGCGUUCGAGUUGUAAUUUGAAGAUGGUAAUCUUGGAUAUAGUCUUCGGCUAUGUUCCUUGGAACAGGACGUCACAGAGGGUGAGAAUCCCGUGUGCUGAGGUGCCUAUAUCCAUGUAAGAUGCUAUCGAAGAGUCGAGUUGUUUGGGAAUGCAGCUCUAAGUGGGUGGUAAAUUCCAUCUAAAGCUAAAUAUUGGCGAGAGACCGAUAGCGAACAAGUACAGUGAUGGAAAGAUGAAAAGAACUUUGAAAAGAGAGUGAAAAAGUACGUGAAAUUGUUGAAAGGGAAGGGCAUGAGGUCAGACUUGGUAUUAAGCGAUCAUUUCCUCUCGGGGUUGUGCUCUCGCUUUUUACUGGGCCAGCAUCAGUUUGGACGGUAAGAUAAUGACAUUGGAAUGUGGCUUUCUUCGGGAAGUGUUAUAGCCCUUGUUGAUGUUACCAGUCUGGACUGAGGACCGCGCAUUAUGCUAG